rnacentral:lncRNA from 1 species
GCUCGAUAAGAAUCUAGACCCCAAGAUAUCUGACUUUGGCUAGCCAAACAUGAUGAAGAGGACAACACCCAUAUAAGCACCCGAGUUGCCGGAACCCUGUGAGCCUGCUCUCUAAGUAUUUGACUGAAAAAGAGCCAUCCACCAUAAGAUUUAAGUCUUUUGAAUAGAACUCAGUCUAAGCUGUUUGAUAUAUGGGUUAUUUUUGCAGCGGGUAUAUGGCUCCUGAAUAUGCAAUGCGGGGUUAUUUGACUGACAAAGCAGAUGUCUACAGUUUUGGAAUCGUUGCCUUGGAAAUUGUCAGUGGGAAGAGCAAUACUAGUCAUCGAACAAAGGAGGACACUGUUUAUCUUCUUGAUUGGGUAGAAAGAGUUUCUCUCGCCGUCUUGAUUUAUUUAUUUUUAUUAUUAUUAUCAAUAUUGUACAUAAUUAUAUAUAUCCAUCUUGUUUUCUAGGCAUUGGUUUUUGUUAGACAAUUGACAUUUUUUAACUCUAGUGUUUCAUGUUGUUUAAUUGUUAUUUAAUCAAGUAUUGUCUGUUUUCUUUUCUUUCAUUUCUGUUUUGAUUUUGUCAAAGUAAAUCCCUUGUUUUUCUGAAGUUGUUGCUAAGAUUAGUGGCAGCAUAUUGUCCACUACAGUUAGUGGCUAGUGACAGCACAUUGUCCACUACAGUUAGUGGCUGAUAACUAGGGAGGUUUGUUAAGUUUUCUCAUGUAUUUAAAGACAUGCAGUUAAUGAAAUACUCACUGAGACAUUUUAUCAAACACCUUGUGUGUAAUUCGUGUUCUUCAAUAUCCAGCAUUGUUGUUCUUGAUUGUGCAUCCCUUCACCUGCACAAAACACAUUAACACAAUUCUUAACAGUGGUAUCAGAGCAUCUCAGAUCUUACAGGACCAAAACACCUUUUUUCAAAAUCUCAAAAAUGACAUCCAACAACUUACUUUUAAACUCCCCCAUUAUAUUGGCGAAAACUACCAUAUUUGGUCAGUGAAGAUGCAAGCUUUUCUUGAAGCUUAUGAUCUUUGGGAAAUUGUUUCCGAAGACAAACCAGUAGCUCCCUUACCAACAAAUCCCACUAUGGCUCAAAUCAAGUUCAGCAGUGAGGAAAAGGCAAAGAAAUCCAAGGCAAAAUCAAUCAUCCAGAAUUCUGUGGCAGAAAGCAUUUUCUACAGAAUUAUGGCAUGCAAUUCAGCCAAAGAGGCUUGGAACAAACUAAAAGAAGAAUACCAAGGCAGUGACAGAACAAGGCAAAUGCAAGUGCUGAAUUUGAAGAGAGAUUUUGAGGCACUUAACAUGCAAGAAGAUGAAACAAUCUCCAAGUAUUCUGAUCGAAUUUCACUAAUUAUCAACAACAUCAGAUUACUUGGAGAAGACUUUCCUGACAGUAGGAUUGUGGAGAAGGUUCUUGUGACUCUUCCUGAGAGGUUUGAAUCCAAAAUCUCCUCUCUAGAAGAAUCAAAGGACCUCAGUAAAAUCUCAUUAGGUGAACUAAUGAGUGCUCUUCAAGCACAGGAGCAACGAAGAACAAUCAGGCAAGACAGAUUGACUGAAGGAGCCUUUUAUGUGCAAAAAACAAGCUGGAAAAGGAAAGAAGUUGCCUAAUCUGAGAUUCAAAGGCAGAAAUGAAGGGGGCAGCACUAGUGAAGCUUCAAAACAAAAGAAGUUUCCUCCUUGCACUCACUGCAAAAGAAACACACAUUCAGAAAAAUAUUGUGGUGGAGGCCAGAUGCAAUUUGUGGAAAUUGCAAGCAAUCAGGGCACAUCACAAAGGUCUGCAAGUUUAAAAACUCAGAUCCAAAACCUCAACAAGCUCACCUAGCAGAUGAAGUUGAUACACAGGAGGAGCAAUUCUUUGCUGUCACUUGUUUCUCAACAAAUGAUCCAGCUGAUACUUGGCUUAUUGACAGUGGAUGCACACAUCAUUUGUGCAAUGAUGCUGGAAUGUUCAAAACCCUUGAUGAAUCUUACAAAUCCAGAGUAAAGGUUGGCAAUGGAGAAUUUCUGGAGGUCAAAGGCAGAGGGUCAGUAAAUGUUCAAACAAGUUCAGGUAUCAAAAUCAUUCCUGAUGUGUUAUUUAUACCUGAAAUCAGUCAAAAUUUGUUGAGUGUUGGACAAAUGAUGGAGAAAAACUAUUCUCUUCAGUUUAAGGAUCAUAAAUGCAUUAUCUUUGAUCCUUCUGGAGAACAAGUGUUCUGUGUAAAGAUGAAAAACAGAAGCUUUGUUGUUGACUGGGAUAAAGUAUCCAAUCAUGCAUAUGUGAGUGCUACUCAGGAUGUUCAAAUCUUUGGCAUAAAAGAUUUGGACAUUUCAAUCAAAAGGGCUUGUCAAUUCUGAAACAAAAGGAAAUGGUUGAAGCAUUGCCCACAUUGAAUGGUGAGAUUCAAUUGUGUGAAACAUGUCAACUUGGCAAGCAAUCAAGGCCACCAUUUCCUAAAAGGCAAGCAUGGAGAGCCAGCCAAAAACUUCAGCUCAUCCACACUGACGUGUGUGGACCUAUGAAGACAGCCUCAUUAUGUGGUAACAAGUAUUUCAUUCUCUUUAUUGAUGAUUAUACUAGGAUGUGUUGGGUGUAUUUCAUCAAAUUUAAGAGUGAAGUAUUUACAAUCUUUCAAACAUUCAAAGCUUUAGUUGAGAAUCAAAGUGACAUGCUAAUUAAAUGCUUAAGAUCUGACAAUGGUACUGAAUAUACCUCAAAUCAGUUUCUUGAGUAUUGCAACAGCAGAGGCAUUGUGCACCAGUACACCACACCAUACACACCACAACAAAAUGGUGUAUGUGAGAGGAAGAACAGGACAGUAAUGGAGAUGGCUAGAUGUCUCUUACUUGAAAAGAAAAUGCCAAACAAAUUAUGGGCAGAGGCAGUCAAUACCUCUGUUUACUUGCUGAACCGACUUCCAACCAAAGCACUGAGGACAAGACACCAUACGAAGGCUGGAAUGGUGUUAAACCUGCUGUAGAUCAUCUUCGAAUCUUUGGCAGCAUAUGCUAUUAUCAUAUAGCUGAGCCAAAGAGGAGCAAACUUGACAACAAAGCUCAGAAGGGAGUUCUUGUGGGUUAUGGAAUAACAACCAAAGGAUACAGAAUUCUUUGCUUACAAACAGAGAAGGUAAUUCUCAGCAGAGAUGUGAAGGUUGAUGAAGCAAUCACAUGGGAUUGGGAACAUCAGAAAAAUAUGAUUUCUGAUCAACCAUUCACCAUUCAGCCUCAGCUGGUAGCUGAUGAAUCAGUGGAUGAUUUUCCAGUUAGAGGCACAAGAUCAUUGGAAGAUAUUCACCUAAGAUGCAACAUGGCAAUUCUAGAACCAACCAGCUAUACUGAAGCUCAAGAAUUUCCAGCAUGGAGGAGAGCAAUGGAGGCAGAAAUGGAAAUGAUCAACAAAAAUGCAACAUGGCAGCUGAUUGAAAGGCCUAAGCAUCGCAAGGUGAUAGGUGUAAGAUGGGUUUUCAAAACAAAACUCAAUUCAGAUGGGUCAAUAUGCAAACACAAGGCUAGAUUGGUGGUAAAGGGCUAUGCUCAGCAAUAUGGUGUGGACUACCUAGAGACCUUUGCUCCAGUAGCAAGGUAUGAUACUAUUAGACUUCUCAUUACACUUGCAGCACAUAACUCUUGGCAGAUUCACCAACUUGAUGUCAAGUCUGCCUUCUUGAAUGGAUUUCUUGCUGAAGAAAUCUUUGUAGAGCAACCCGAUGGGUAUGCUGUUAAAGAUAAAGAAGAUCAUGUGUAUCUACUUAAGAAGGCCUUGUAUGGGUUGAAACAAGCUCCCCGAGCUUGGUAUGACAGAAUGGACACACAUUGCUUCAACUUGGGUUCAGCAGAAGCCAAAAUGAAGCAACUUUGUAUGUGAAAUCCUGUGGUAACCAUUUUCUAAUUGUAUCUAUUUACGUAGAUGAUAUGCUCAUCAUAAGAAGUGAACUUGGAAUGAUCCAAGAGUUCAAAGAUGAAAUGAAGAAGAUGUUUGAGAUGUCUGACCUUGGAAUGAUGAAUUACUUCCUUGGAAUGGAAGUGAUGCAAUCCAGCAAUGGCAUUUUUACAUGCCAAAAGAAGUAUGCUUCAGACAUCCUAAAAAGAUUCAAAAUGGAGGAUUGUAAACCAGUGGGGACUCCUAUGACAACAAGUAUCAAGCUUAGCAAGGAUGAUGAAUCUGAAAAAGUGGAUGAAAGUUUGUAUAGAGGCUUAAUUGGGAGCCUUCAAAUAUCUCACAACAAGUAGACCUGACAUAUUGUUUGUUGUGAGUAUUCUUUCAAGGUUCAUGCAUUCUAGGGAGACUCAUUUUAUUGCAGCAAAAAAGGAUACUUAGAUACAUCAAAGGUACCAUUGAUCUUGGUAUUUUCUGUCCAAGAUCAUCAGAAGGGGUUGUGGAACUAAAAGGCUAUACUGACAGUGACUGAGGAGGCUGUGUUGAUGAUUCAAGAAGCACUUCAGGGUAUUUAUUCUCACUCAAUUCAGGUGUUUUCACCUGGAGUUCAAAGAAGCAAGAGACAACAACUCAAUCCACUGCAGAAGCAGAGUACAUUGUUGUUGCCGCUGCUGUCAACCAAGCAAUUUGGUUGAGGAAAAUGUUAAAGGAUUUGGGACAUGAACAGGUUGAACUACUAAAAUCAUGUGUGAUAACAGUUCUGCAGUAUCAAUUUCUAAGAAUCCAGUCUUUCAUGGACGUACAAAGCAUAUCAAAAUCAAGUUUCAUUUUAUUAGAGAAGUUCAACAAUCUAAUGAAGUGAUGCUGAUUCAUUGUUCUUUCGAAGAACAACUUGCAGAUAUAUUUACCAAACCACUACCUAAAGAGAGAUUUGAGACAUUAAGACAAAUGAUUGGAAUUUAUCGUCAAAAUGUCAAGGAGGAGUGUUAGACAAUUGACAUUUUUUAACUCUAGUGUUUCAUGUUGUUUAAUUGUUAUUUAAUCAAGUAUUGUCUGUUUUCUUUACUUUCAUUUCUGUUUUGAUUUUGUCAAAGUAAAUCCCUUGUUUUUCUGAAGUUGUUGCUGAGAUUAGUGGCAGCAUAUUGUCCACUAUAGUUAGUGGUCAGUGACAACACAUUGUCCACUACUGUAGUUAGUGGCUGAUAACUAGGGAGGUUUGUUAAGUUUUCUCAUGUAUUUAAAGACAUGCAGUUAAUAAAAUACUCACUGAGACAUUUUAUCAAACACCUUGUGUGUAAUUCGUGUUCUUCAAUAUCCAGCAUUUUUGUUCUUGAUUGUGCAUCCCUUCACCUGCACAAAACACACAAAACACAGUAACACAAUUCUUAACAGUUUUG